rnacentral:rRNA from 1 species
UAACGCGUGGAUAACCUGCCUCAUACAGGGGAGUAACAGUUAGAAAUGACUGCUAAUACCGCAUAAGCACCCGGGAGCGCAUGCUCCUGAGUGAAAAGCUCCGGCGGUAUGAGAUGGAUCCGCGUCUGAUUAGCUGGUUGGCGGGGUAACGGCCCACCAAGGCGACGAUCAGUAGCCGACCUGAGAGGGUGGCCGGCCACAUUGGGACUGAGACACGGCCCAAACUCCUACGGGAGGCAGCAG